AUUGAACGCUGGCGGCAGGCCUAACACAUGCAAGUCGAGCGAGCGGCGGACGGGUGAGUAAUGUCUGGGAAACUGCCUGAUGGAGGGGGAUAACUACUGGAAAAGGUAGCUAAUACAGCGUCCCAUCAGAUGUGCCCAUAUGGGAGUAGCUAGUAGGUGGGGUAACGGCUGACCUAGGCGACGAUCCCUAGCUGGUCUGCGAGGUUGAUCAGCCACACUGGAACUGAGACACGGUCCAGACUCCUACGUGAGGCAGCAGUGGGGAAUAUUGGACAAUGGGCGAAAGCCUGAUCCAGCCAUGCCGCGUGUGUGAAGAAGGUCUUCGGAUUGUAAAGCACUUUAAGUUGGGAGGCGUUACCAACAGAAUAAGCACCGGCUAACUUCGUGCCAGCAGCCGCGGUAAUUC
rnacentral:rRNA from 1 species